AAAAGCACGUUUGGCAUGGUUCACUACCCAACGGUGAGCGUUCAAUUGACACAUAUUGUGACGCCUGGCAUUCGGGCUCCAGAGACAAGUUCGGUUAUGCCAGCAAUUUGCUGGGGAACAAAUUGCUCGACCAGGAGCGCCAAACUUGCGAUAGCAAAUUAAUUGUGCUGUGCGUGGAGGCGUUGUCGCAGGAUAGAAGGCGAAAACGCGAUAUCAGCGACAGCGAACCUGUGUUCCAUACGGCGGAAGCAUAUGCGCGCCACCUCAAAGAGGUGUUAACUUGAAAUUCCGACUAUCGCGCCCUUGUGCCACGAAAGCGUGCCGGACGAGGGCAUUUGUUGUGGCUACAAUCAGUACAUCAUCAACAUCAACCAGUCAAAACUAAGCAACUUCAUCAGCAACAAAAACAAUAAAAAA